AUACGGAGGGGGCGAGCGUUGUUCGGAAUUACUGGGCGUAAAGCGCGCGUAGGCGGUUAGGUAAGUCGGAUGUGAAAGCCCUCGGCUCAACCGAGGAACUGCGUCCGAUACUGCCCGACUUGAGUCCGGUAGGGGAUGGCAGAAUUCCCGGUGUAGCGGUGGAAUGCGUAGAUAUCGGGAAGAACACCAGUGGCGAAGGCGAUCUGCUGGGCCGUUGCUGACGCUGAGGCGCGACAGCGUGGGGAGC
rnacentral:rRNA from 1 species